UACGGGGGGGGCAAGCGUUGUUCGGAAUUACUGGGCGUAAAGGGCUCGUAGGCGGCCAACUAAGUCGGAUGUGAAAUCCCCAGGCUCAACUUGGGAACUGCAUCCGAUACUGGAUGGCUUGAAUUCGGGAGAGGGAUGCAGAAUUCCAGGUGUAGCGGUGAAAUGCGUAGAGAUCGGCAGGAACACCAAGGGCGAAAGCAGCAGACUGGCCCGUGGCUGACGCUCAGGGACGAAAGCGUGGGGAGCGAACUGG
rnacentral:rRNA from 1 species